AUGAAUUUUAAACAACUUGAUCAUGAGCAUGUUUCUCAAUCUUGGGAAAGAAUGAAAUUGAUGCUUCGCAAUUGCCCUACUCAUGGUUUGAAUUUAUGGAUGAUCAUACAAAAAUUUUAUGCCGGUUUGAACUUUGCUUCUAGAAAUCUCUUAGAUUCGGCCACGGGAGGCACGUUUAUGGAAAUCACGUUAGGAGAUGCUACAAAACUUCUUGAUAAUAUUAUGGCUAAUUAUUCUCAAUGGCACACCAAAAGAUCUUCUAGUAAAAAAGUGCAUGCUAUAGAAGAAAUCAAUGUUUUGAGUGGAAAGAUGGAUGAACUUAUGAAAAUUUUUGCUACUAAAAAUACUCCUCUUGAUCCCAAUUGA
rnacentral:rRNA from 1 species